AACGAACGCUGGCGGCAUGCCUAACACAUGUAAGUCGAACGAGACCUUCGGGUCUAGUGGCGCACGGGUGCGUAACGCGUGGGAACCUGCCCUUAGGUUCGGAAUAACUCCCCGAAAGGGGUGCUAAUACCGGAUAAUGUCUUCGGACCAAAGAUUUAUCGCCUUUGGAUGGGCCCGCGUUGGAUUAGCUAGUUGGUAGGGUAAAAGCCUACCAAGGCGACGAUCCAUAGCUGGUCUGAGAGGAUGAUCAGCCACACUGGGACUGAGACACGGCCCAGACUCCUACGGGAGGCAGCAGUGUGGAAUAUUGGGCAAUGGGCGAAAGCCUGAUCCAGCAAUGCCGCGUGAGUGAUGAAGGCCUUAGGGUUGUAAAGCUCUUUUACCCGGGAUGAUAAUGACAGUACCGGGAGAAUAAGCUCCGGCUAACUCCGUG
rnacentral:rRNA from 1 species